rnacentral:rRNA from 1 species
UACGGGGGGGGGCAAGCGUUGUUCGGAAUUACUGGGCGUAAAGGGCUCGUAGGCGGCCAACUAAGUCAGACGUGAAAUCCCUCGGCUUAACCGGGGAACUGCGUCUGAUACUGGAUGGCUAGAGGUUGGGAGAGGGAUGCGGAAUUCCAGGUGUAGCGGUGAAAUGCGUAGAUAUCAGGAGGAACACCUAUUGCGAAGGCAGCUCGCUGGGACGUAACUGACGCUGAGACGCGAAAGCGUGGGGAGCAAACAGG